UACGGAGGGGGCAAACGUUGCUCGGAAUCAUUGGGCGUAAAGCGCACGUAGGCGGCCUGUUAAGUCGGAUGUGAAAGCCCUGGGCUCAACCCAGGAAGUGCAUUCGAAACUGGCAGGCUUGAAUAUGGAAGAGGGUCGCGGAAUUCCCGGUGUAGAGGUGAAAUUCGUAGAUAUCGGGAGGAACACCAGUGGCGAAGGCGGCGACCUGGGCCAAUAUUGACGCUGAGGUGCGAAA
rnacentral:rRNA from 1 species